UCCCAGGUUUGCCACAAGAAUUGCUGUUGA
rnacentral:piRNA from 1 species